GGGGAAUAUUGGACAAUGGGGGCAACCCUGAUCCAGCAACGCCGCGUGGGGGAUGAAGGUCUUCGGAUUGUAAACCCCUGUUAAGAGGGACGAAGGCUUUCGGGCGAACAGUCCGGAAGCUUGACGGUACCUCUAGAGGAAGCCCCGGCUAACUCUGUGCCAGCAGCCGCGGUAAUACAGAGGGGGCGAGCGUUAUUCGGAAUUAUUGGGCGUAAAGGGCGCGUAGGCGGCUGGGCAAGUCCAAGGUGAAAUCCCUCGGCUCAACCGAGGAACUGCCUUGGAAACGGCCCGGCUUGAGGCCGGGAGAGGGUAGUGGAAUUCCCAGUGUAGCGGUGAAAUGCGUAGAUAUUGGGAGGAACACCGGUGGCGAAGGCGGCUACCUGGACCGGUUCUGACGCUGAUGCGCGAAAGCGUGGGGAGCAAAC
rnacentral:rRNA from 1 species